rnacentral:rRNA from 1 species
CUGCGAUGGCUCAUUAAUCAGUAUCGUUUAWUUGAUAGUMCCUUACUACUUGGAUAACCGUGGUAAUUCUAGAGCUAAUACAUGCUACAAAGCCCGACCUCUGGAAGGGCUGUAUUUAUUAGAUAAAAAACCAAUGCCUUCGGGCUCCUUGGUGAUUCAUGAUAACUUAUCGAAUCGCAUGGCCUUGCGCCGGCGAUGGUUCAUUCAAAUUUCUGCCCUAUCAACUUUCGAUGGUAGGAUAGUGGCCUACCAUGGUUUCAACGGGUAACGGGGAAUUAGGGUUCGAUUCCGGAGAGGGAGCCUGAGAAACGGCUACCACAUCCAAGGAAGGCAGCAGGCGCGCAAAUUACCCAAUCCCGACACGGGGAGGUAGUGACAAUAAAUACUGAUACAGGGCCCUUUCGGGUCUUGUAAUUGGAAUGAGUACAAUUUAAAUCCCUUAACGAGGAACAAUUGGAGGGCAAGUCUGGUGCCAGCAGCCGCGGUAAUUCCAGCUCCAAUAGCGUAUAUUAAAGUUGUUGCAGUUAAAAAGCUCGUAGUUGAACCUUGGGCCUGGCUGGUCGGUCUGCCUCACCGCAUGCACUGAUCCGGCCGGGCCUUUCCUUCUGGGGAGCCGCAUGCCCUUUACUGGGUGUGCCGGGGAUCCAGGACUUUUACUUUGAAAAAAUUAGAGUGUUCAAAGCAGGCAUUUGCUCGAAUACAUUAGCAUGGAAUAAUAGAAUAGGACGUGCGGUUCUAUUUUGUUGGUUUCUAGGACCGCCGUAAUGAUUAAUAGGGAUAGUCGGGGGCAUCCGUAUUCAAUUGUCAGAGGUGAAAUUCUUGGAUUUAUUGAAGACGAACUACUGCGAAAGCAUUUGCCAAGGAUGUUUUCAUUAAUCAGGAACGAAAGUUGAGGGAUCGAAGACGAUCAGAUACCGUCGUAGUCUCAACCAUAAACUAUGCCGACUAGGGAUCGGGCGAUGUUCUUUUUUUGACUCGCUCSGAACCUUACGAGAAAUCAAA